rnacentral:tRNA from 1 species
CGGCGUGUAGCGCAGUUUGGCAGCGCAACUGCUUUGGGAGCAGUGGGUCGCAGGUUCGAAUCCUGCCACGCCGACCA